rnacentral:rRNA from 1 species
GACGAACCGAGCGAACGUUGUUCGGAAUCACUGGGCUUAAAGGGCGCGUAGGCGGGCAUCCAAGUCUGUGGUGAAAUCCGGCAGCUUAACUGUCGAACUGCCGUGGAUACUGGGUGUCUCGAGGGAGGUAGGGGCGUGCGGAACUGAUGGUGGAGCGGUGAAAUGCGUGAUAUCAUCAGGAACUCCGGUGGCGAAGGCGGCCUGCUGGGCAGUUGCUGACACUGAGGCGCGACAGCGUGGGGAGCAAACAGG